UACGUAGGGUGCGAGCGUUGUCCGGAAUUAUUGGGCGUAAAGAGCUCGUAGGCGGUGUGUCGCGUCGGUCUUGAAAACUUGGGGCUUAACCCUGAGCUUGCGGUCGAUACGGGCAUCACUGGAGUUCGGCAGGGGAGACUGGAAUUCCUGGUGUAGCGGUGAAAUGCGCAGAUAUCAGGAGGAACACCGGUGGCGAAGGCGGGUCUCUGGGCCGAUACUGACGCUGAGGAGCUAAAGCGUGGGGAGCGAACAGG
rnacentral:rRNA from 1 species